rnacentral:siRNA from 1 species
AGUCAAUUGGGUAAAAUUCAGAGC